rnacentral:rRNA from 1 species
CAGCAGCCACGGUAAUACAAAGGAUGCAAGCGUUAUCCGGAAUGAUUGGGCGUAAAGCGUGCGCAGGCGGUUAUAUAAGACAGAUGUGAAAUCCCCGGGCUCAACCUGGGACCUGCAUUUGUGACUGUAUAGCUAGAGUACGGUAGAGGGGGAUGGAAUUCCGCGUGUAGCAGUGAGAUGCGUAGAUAUGCGGAGGAACACCGAUGGCGAAGGCAAUCCCCUGGACCUGUACUGACGCUCAUGCACGAGAGCGUGGGGAGCAAACAGGAUUAGAUACCCGAGUAGUCCCUGUCUCUUAUAA